CUCCGAGGGAUCAGACCGCGAGGAAGCUCCUCUCUCCGCGGCGGCCGAGGCGGCGAAGCAGGCGGAGGAGGAG
rnacentral:ribozyme from 14 species